UAUUAUCUAUUUCCCUCCUCUCACUUGCCAUCUCUCCUCUCUUUCUAACCCCUCUUUUAAGUUUCCUCCUCCUCCACUACCAUCACCAUGCGCCGCCGUCGGUGAUGCUCCAAACACCACCAAACGUUCACCCUUUCCUCGUCUCUUCAUCCUUUACUGAACCCCAAAUCUUCAAACUCCAUCUUAAUCUCCAUGAAUCUUCAAAAAAUGGAAACCCUAGCCGCCUAUUUUUCCUCAAAUUCGUCAAGUUUGAGACCUCAUCACUACUUAAUACCUAUAUGAGUGUGUAGUUCUUCCCCUAAUCUACUGUUCUUUCUUGGUUUGAAGUCGAAACUCUGGUGGCUAAAUUCCGGCAGGUUGCCGGUUACUUCUACUUUGGCUCGAGCAAGCCUUUUUUGUUGCUGAGUUCGUUAUUGGACUUCGGUUUGAUUGGAGUUGAUAGUGACGGGCCAGCAACAAGAAGAGAACGCCGACGUCAAAACUUCAUCCAUAACUGCCUGAAUCGCCACCACUGCCGCACCACCACUGUCUCGAACACUCGAGUUUCUGGUAAUUCGCUUAAAGUGCUACUAUAAUUUUGAGUUAAGAAUGAAUGGAUACAAAGCAAUUUGAGUUCUCUUCAGUUUAUUCUAAGCUUUUAAAAGCAUUUUAUUAAUUGUAAGGUUUAGUGUAUAAGCAUAUACAAUAAAUAGUUGCUUUGUUAUUGUGACUCGGUGUCACCUUUAUUUUUGUUUUUGUUUUUUUUUGUGAAGAAUCACCAAUGAAACAGCAAUGUACUGAUAUAGAUUCAAAUGUUUAAGUUGCUAUGUCUCAGUUUUAAUAUCAUAAAUUUCAGUUAAUGUUUAA